GCCGGAAUAGCUCAGUUGGGAGAGCGUUAGACUAAAGAUCUAAAGGCACCAGGUUCAAUGCCGGGUUCCGGCA